rnacentral:rRNA from 1 species
UACGUAGGGGGGCGAGCGUUGUCCGGAUUUAUUGGGCGUAAAGAGCGUGUAGGCGGCCAGGUAGGUCUGCUGUGAAAACUCGAGGCUCAACCUCGAGACGUCGGCGGAAACCACUUGGCUAGAGUCCGGAAGAGGAGAGUGGAAUUCCUGGUGUAGCGGUGAAAUGCGCAGAUAUCAGGAAGAACACCUAUGGCGAAGGCAGCUCUCUGGGACGGUACUGACGCUGAGACGCGAAAGCGUGGGGAGCGAACAGG